rnacentral:lncRNA from 1 species
ACGUCGACACAACAUGGGUGUGGGUGUCAGAACUAGUCAACUUACCUUGGUAUCCAACCUCUCUAUUCGCACCCGUAUCGGGUACCUGAACCCAAGUCCGAGCAACAUAAGCGCACAAGGCAAAGUUUAUGAUCUUUGAAUAUUCAUAAUAUCGACAAACUAUCAAUCAAUCAUGUCUAUACAAGCUUGUCACAGAUGGAUAUAUGAAAUACUUUAUUUUCAUU